rnacentral:lncRNA from 1 species
AGAGAGAUGAGUUCAGUGGCUGCAAAGGAGCAAAGAGCCAUGUUGUCCCUUGUGCUCCAUGUGCCAGGACAAGGAAGCUGCAGCUGUCCACGCCCAGCGCUCUUCCAGGCUGAGACACAAGGACAGAAAAUCAAGGUCAGCUUGCAACAUGCCAAGACCUAUCUCAAAAAACAAAACAAAACAACAACAAAAAUCAACCUACAGAAAAAUAUAGCAUAAACCACCUUCCACGAUGCAGAUUUAACAAGCACUAGUAUUUUGCUCUAUUAGCUUUGAAUCUGUAUUCUAAAUGUUCCACACACACUUGAACCUUAUGUGGAAAGGUUCUAAUCCCUGAUCCUGUUUUCCUGAAAAGUAACUACAAUCAUGAAAUAUGUGUUUAUUCUUUAAUUUUUUUUCUUUUUUUGCAGUACUUGGGAUUGAACCUAGGGCCAUCAUACUAAGCUACAUCCCCAGCCUUCUCUUUUUUUUUUUUUUCAAUUUUGAAACAGUCUCAUUAAGUCACUAAGUUGCCCAGGCUGGGCUUGAACUUGCAAUCCUCUUGCCUCAGACUCCCAGAGUGCUGGGAUCACAAACAUGAGGCCCCAUGCCUGGCUAUAAGAGUUUCUCUAGAGUGGUGGUGAGGAACUUAUGGCACAUGUGCCACAAGUGGGCACACAGAGUCCUCUCUGUUGGCUCAUGAGCCAAGUCCCCACAGAAGAUAAGGAUCGGUUAACAGCAUACACAGGGGCCAUGCACAUGCUCUGGAAGGAGUAGCGGCACCAGGUGAUGACAUCACCAGCAGCCUGGGCACUUGGUCUUUAAAAGGUUCGCCAUCACUGCUCUAGAACAUAUGCUUCUUGAUAAGGUUCCCUGUAGACCUUAGGACUCACAGGAUUGUGAGAGGUAGUGAAUGAAAUAUUUCCGGUGAGGGUGUUGGUUCCAUGUCUGCUGUCAGAUCUGAAGUCAGCAGGACCAACAGAGAAAGAGGAUGAGUAGUGGAAAGCAGAAACCCUUAGGAACUGACAGAGCCAGCUGUCACUUGUUGAACAGCACCUGAAUGGGGGAGUGAGGAUGAAGAAAAAGAAAGACGCAGAGAUAGAGUCGGGAGCCUCCCAGAGAGACUGCCGCCGCGCUUUAUUUUUAUUCUCCUCCCCUUUUUAUCACAGUCCUGGUCUAGCAGCCUCGGAACCACUAGAUCUGAACCCCAACCUACAGGAUUCUCAGACUUGAGCAUUCUGUAAUUUACAGCUCAAGACAGACAUCCUGGGACAAUAUCUGUGAUGCUGCCAGCUUGAUUUAGGUCCUGGCCAGGAGAGUCUGUCCGCUUGUCCCCUGUCCUGAGUGACUCUGCCCUGCCUGAG